rnacentral:lncRNA from 1 species
UCUGGCGCCUUGGGGGAUAGGUUGAGGUCUGAACUUUUUCAAAAUAAAGUUGGUUGUGGCGAAGAGAUUUAUAAAAAUGCGAGUCCCAGAUGCCAUUUUCAGAUAUUCUAAUUGGGCAAUUCUGGGCGAAUCCUGUGACUCUGAAUUUUUCAAUUUCCCUCUGUUCUGUUGCACAAAGUUGAAUACCAUGGAUCUAAUCCAACUUUAGACUUUCCCUCACGCCCAUUUCACAGAGGAAAACACUGAGGACCCAAGAAGCCAAGGGCAGCAACCACAUCCCAGCUUCCAACACAUUCUAACAGCCUGCCAGAUGGGUAGACCUGACAGACACCUCGGAGACACAUCCUAGGUCACCCACCGUGAGGACACCCGCAUCCACAGGGAAGCCCCCAGCCGCUGACCACACCGCACCUUUCUCUCUCUCGGGCCGACAUGCUCUUCUGAGUGUGAGCUUUUAAAUUCUGCUCAAUAAACCUCUGUUUGCCUCUCACUGAUGCGUCCUGAAAAUUCUUUUUUCCUUUUCUUUUUUUUUGGUACCGGGGAUCGAACUCGGGUCCUUGCGCUUGCGAAGCAGGUGGAGGAGCCACUGAGCUAAAUCCCCAGCCCCCGAAAAUUCUUUUCUCUAUGAUGGAAGUCAGCGAACCCACAAUCUGCCCCGUGGGCAGGGUGAGUCGAGGUUCCCCAUCUCCUCUUUG